rnacentral:ncRNA from 2 species
GUUAACCUUCAGGGUUAGGUGAAAUUCCUUACCGGCGGUAUGGCGUAGGCCGAGCCCGCGAGCCCGCAGGGGCAGAUCUGGUGAAAAGCCAGGGCCGACAGUUAAAGUCUGGAUGGGAGAAGGUGGUU